AAGGAUCAUUAACGAAUUGUAAAGGAGAUUGAUGCUGGCCAAUUCUUUUUUGGCAUGUGCUCGCCUCUGACAAUCCUUAUCCAUACACCUGUGCACCUCUGGAGGGGUUUUCCGCUUUGCGGAUUUCAUACCCCUCUUUUUACACAAACCCAUUUCUAUAACAUUGAACGUGAAUUAGUGCCGUUAAGGCCUUAAAACAAAAUACAACUUUUAACAACGGAUCUCUUGGCUCUCGCAUCGAUGAAGAACGCAGCGAAUUGCGAUAAGUAAUGUGAAUUGCAGAAUUCAGUGAAUCAUCGAAUCUUUGAACGCACCUUGCGCUCUCUGGUAUUCCGGAGAGCACGCCUGUUCGAGUGUCGUGAAAUUCUCAAGCUUGAUGGGCUUUAUUGUCUGUCACAGUUUGGAUUUGGACUUUUGCUGUGUCAUUACGGCUGGUCUUAAAGGCAUUAGCUGAAUCUUGGUAUGAGAUUGGUUCUACUCAGCGUGAUAAUUAUCUGACCGCUGAGGACAUCUUUUGGGAUGGCCAAACUUGUCCUCGAGUCGCUUCCAAUCCGGUUAACAUUGCUUAAUUGCUUUGUUCCAUUUUUCAACUUUGACCUCGAAUCAGGUGGGACUACCCGCUGAACUUAA
rnacentral:rRNA from 1 species